UACGUAGGGUGCAAGCGUUAAUCGGAAUUACUGGGCGUAAAGCGUGCGCAGGCGGCUAUGCAAGACAGAUGUGAAAUCCCCGGGCUCAACCUGGGAACUGCAUUUGUGACUGCAUGGGCUAGAGUACGGUAGAGGGGGAUGGAAUUCCGCGUGUAGCAGUGAAAUGCGUAGAUAUGCGGAGGAACACCGAUGGCGAAGGCAAUCCCCUGGGCCUGCACUGACGCUCAUGCACGAAAGCGUGGGGAGCAAACAGG
rnacentral:rRNA from 1 species